rnacentral:misc_RNA from 1 species
GAUGAAGAACGCAGCGAAAUGCGAUAAGUAAUGUGAAUUGCAGAAUUCAGUGAAUCAUCGAAUCUUUGAACGCACAUUGCGCCCGCCAGCAUUCUGGCGGGCAUGCCUGUUCGAGCGUCAUUUCAACCCUCGAGCCCCCCCCGGGGGCCUCGGUGUUGGGGGACGGCACACCAGCCGCCCCCGAAAUGCAGUGGCGACCCCGCCGCAGCCUCCCCUGCGUAGUAGCACACACCUCGCACCGGAGCGCGGAGGCGGUCACGCCGUAAAACGCCCAACUUUCUUAGAGUUGACCUCGGAUCAGGUAGGAAUACCCGCUGAACUUAAGCAUAUCAAUAAGCGGAGGA